GCCGAUGUAGCUCAACGGUAGAGCACGGCUUUCGUAAAGCCGGGGUUGAGAGUUCAAAUCUCUCCAUCGGCU
rnacentral:tRNA from 3 species